rnacentral:rRNA from 1 species
GAUGAACGCUGGCGGCGUGCCUAAUACAUGCAAGUCGAGCGAACAGAUGAGGAGCUUGCUCCUCUGACGUUAGCGGCUGACGGGUGAGUAACACGUGGAUAACCUACCUAUAAGACUGGGAUAACUUCGGGAAACCGGAGCUAAUACCGGAUAAUAUAUUGAACCGCAUGGUUCAAUAGUGAAAGACGGUUUUGCUGUCACUUAUAGAUGGAUCCGCGCCGCAUUAGCUAGUUGGUAAGGUAACGGCUUACCAAGGCAACGAUGCGUAGCCGACCUGAGAGGAUGAUCGGCCACACUGGAACUGAGACACGGUCCAGACUCCUACGGGAGGCAGCAGUAGGGAAUCUUCCGCAAUGGGCGAAAGCCUGACGGAGCAACGCCGCGUGAGUGAUGAAGGUCUUCGGAUCGUAAAACUCUGUUGUUAGGGAAGAAAAACUGUGUAAGUAACUAUGCACGUCUUGACGGUACCUAAUCAGAAAGCCACGGCUAACUACGUG